rnacentral:rRNA from 1 species
CCUACGGUGUGCUGCAGUGGGGAAUAUUGCACAAUGGUGGAAACCCUGAUGCAGCAACGCCGCGUGAAGGAAGACGGUUUUCGGAUUGUUAACUUCUGUUCUUAGUGAAGAAUAAUGACGGUCGCUAAGGAUCAAGCCACGGCUAACUACGUGCCAGCAGCCGCGGUAAUACGUAGGUGGCAAGCGUUGUCCGGAAUUACUGGGUGUAAAGGGAGCGCAGGCGGGAAGCCAAGUCAGCUGUGAAAAUUACGGGCUUAACUUGUAGACUGCAGUGGAAACUGGUUGUCUUGAGUGAAGUAGAGGUUGGCGGAAUUCGGAGUGUAGCGGUGAAAUGCGUAGAUAUUAGGAGGAACACCGGUGGCGAAGGCGGCCAACUGGGCUUUAACUGACGCUGAGGCUCGAAAGUGUGGGGAGCAAACAGGAUUAGAUACCCUUGUAGUC